rnacentral:rRNA from 1 species
UACAGAGGUCUCAAGCGUUGUUCGGAUUCAUUGGGCGUAAAGGGCGCGUAGGCGGCCAUCUAAGUCAGACGUGAAAUCCCCCGGCUUAACCUGGGAACUGCGUCUGAUACUGGACGGCUUGAGUAUGGGAGAGGGAUGUAGAAUUCCAGGUGUAGCGGUGAAAUGCGUAGAUAUCAAGAGGAACACCUGAGGUGAAGACGGGUUGCUGGGCUGACACUGACGCUGAGGCGCGAAAGCUAGGGUAGCAAACGGG